rnacentral:rRNA from 1 species
UACACUCCUGCGGGAGGCAGCAGUGGGGAAUUUUGGACAAUGGGCGAAAGCCUGAUCCAGCAAUGCCGCGUGAGUGAAGAAGGCCUUCGGGUUGUAAAGCUCUUUUGUCAGGGAAGAAACGGUGAGAGCUAAUAUCUCUUGCUAAUGACGGUACCUGAAGAAUAAGCACCGGCUAACUACGUGCCAGCAGCCGCGGUAAUACGUAGGGUGCAAGCGUUAAUCGGAAUUACUGGGCGUAAAGCGUGCGCAGGCGGUUUUGUAAGUCUGAUGUGAAAUCCCCGGGCUCAACCUGGGAAUUGCAUUGGAGACUGCAAGGCUAGAAUCUGGCAGAGGGGGGUAGAAUUCCACGUGUAGCAGUGAAAUGCGUAGAUAUGUGGAGGAACACCGAUGGCGAAGGCAGCCCCCUGGGUCAAGAUUGACGCUCAUGCACGAAAGCGUGGGGAGCAAACAGGAUUAGAAACCCGUGUAGUCCCAUGAU